AUUGAACGCUGGCGGCAGGCUUAACACAUGCAAGUCGAGCGAGCGGCGGACGGGUGAGUAAUGUCUGGGAAACUGCCUGAUGGAGGGGGAUAACUACUGGAAACGGUAGCUAAUACCGCAUACCAUCAGAUGUGCCCAGAUGGGAUUAGCUAGUAGGUGGGGUAAUGGCUCACCUAGGCGACGAUCCCUAGCUGGUCUGAGAGGAUGACCAGCCACACUGGAACGGAGACACGGUCCAGACUCCUACGGGAGGCAGCAGUGGGGAAUAUUGCACAAUGGGGGAAAGCCUGAGGCAGCAAUGCCGCGUGUGUGAAGAAGGCAUUCGGGUUGUAAAGCACUUUCAGCGAGGAGGCGGUACUCGAAGAAGAAGCACCGGCUAACUACGUGCCAGCAGCCGCGGUAAUAC
rnacentral:rRNA from 1 species